rnacentral:rRNA from 1 species
GGAUGAACGCUAGCGAUAGGCCUAACACAUGCAAGUCGAGGGGCAGCACAUGAGUAGCAAUACGAUGGUGGCGACCGGCGCACGGGUGAGUAACACGUAUGCAACCUACCUUUAACAGGGGAAUAACCCGUUGAAAAACGGACUAAUACUCCAUAACACAGGGGUCCCGCAUGGGAAUAUUUGUUAAAGAUUUAUCGGUUGAAGAUGGGCAUGCGUUCCAUUAGCUUGUUGGUGAGGUAACGGCUCACCAAGGCUACGAUGGAUAGGGGAACUGAGAGGUUUAUCCCCCACACUGGAACUGAGACACGGUCCAGACUCCUACGGGAGGCAGCAGUGAGGAAUAUUGGUCAAUGGAGGCAACUCUGAACCAGCCAAGUCGCGUGAAGGAUGAAGGUCUUAUGGAUUGUAAACUUCUUUUGCAAGGGAAUAAAGUGGGGGACGUGUCCUCCUUUGCAUGUACCUUGCGAAUAAGGAUCGGCUAACUCCGUGCCAGCAGCCGCGGUAAUACGGAGGAUCCGAGCGUUAUCCGGAUUUAUUGGGUUUAAAGGGUGCGCAGGCGGGAUGUUAAGUCGGCGGUGAAAUUUUGCAGCUCAACUGUAAAAGUGCCUUCGAUACUGGCUUUCUUGAGUGUGGAUGAAGUAGGCGGAAUUUGUGGUGUAGCGGUGAAAUGCUUAGAUAUCACGAGGAACUCCGAUUGCGCAGGCAGCUUACUAAACCACUACUGACGCUCAUGCACGAAGGCGUGGGGAUCAAACAGGAUUAGAUACCCUGGUAGUCCACGCAGUAAACGAUGAUUACUAGUUGUUUGCGAUACAAUGUAAGCGACUGAGCGAAAGCGUUAAGUAAUCCACCUGGGGAGUACGUUCGCAAGAAUGAAACUCAAAGGAAUUGACGGGGGCCCGCACAAGCGGAGGAACAUGUGGUUUAAUUCGAUGCUGCCCGAAGAACCUUACCAGGGUUUGACAUGCUGGUGGUAGGAACCUGAAAGGGGGACGACCCGACCGUAAGGGAGGGAGCCAGCACAGGUGUUGCAUGGCUGUCGUCAGCUCGUGCCGUGAGGUGUCGGCUUAAGUGCCGUAACGAGCGCAACCCUCAUCCCUAAUUGCUCCUGGCAGAUAAAAGGGUCAGAGCACAAUAGGGAGACCGCUGGCGAAGAGCCAGAGGAAGGGGAGGAUGACGUCAAGUCAGCAUGGCCUUUAUGCCCUGGGCUACACACAUGCUACAAUGCAGGGUACAACGGGAAGCGAAGCCGCGAGGUGGAGCAAAUCCCCAAAAGCCCUGCUCAGUUCGAAUCGCACGCUGCAAUUCGCGUGCGUGAAGUCGGAGUCGCUAGUAACCGUGGAUCAGCAAAGCCGCGGUGAAUACGUUCUCGGGCCU